GUGACAGGUUUAGGUUACUGUCAUUCAUAUUCCAUUCACCCAGCUCAAUGUAACAGUGAUAGGUUUAGGUUACUGUCAUUCAUAUUCACCCAGUUCAAUGUAACAGUGACAGGUUUAGGUUACUGUCAUUCAUAUUCCAUUCACCCAGCUCAAUGUAACAGUGACAGGUUUAGGUUACUGUCAUUCAUAUUCCAUUCACCCAGCUCAAUGUAACAGUGAUAGGUUUAGGUUACUGUCAUUCAUAUUCCAUUCACCCAGCUCAAUGUAACAGUGAUAGGUUUAGGUUACUGUCAUUCAUAUUCCAUUCACCCAGCUCAAUGUAACAGUGACAGGUUUAGGUUACUGUCAUUCAUAUUCCAUUCACCCAGCUCAAUGUAACAGUGAUAGGUUUAGGUUACUGUCAUUCAUAUUCACCCAGUUCAAUGUAACAGUGACAGGUUUAGGUUACUGUCAUUCAUAUUCCAUUCACCCAGUUCAAUGUAACAGUGACAGGUUUAGGUUACUGUCAUUCAUAUUCCAUUCACCCAGCUCAAUGUAACAGUGACAGGUUUAGGUUACUGUCAUUCACCCAGUUCAAUGUAACAGUGACAGGUUUAGGUUACUGUCAUUCAUAUUCCAUUCACCCAGCUCAAUGUAACAGUGACAGGUUUAGGUUACUGUCAUUCAUAUUCCAUUCACCCAGCUCAAUGUAACAGUGACAGGUUUAGGUUACUGUCAUUCAUAUUCACCCAGCUCAAUGUAACAGUGAUAGGUUUACACAAUGUUAUAAUUUCCCCCUAUACCCAUCAUGAGGUUGCUACAACCUAGCGUACGAAUGAAAAGUUUAUUACGAAGGAGCACACAGGUCGAGA